rnacentral:rRNA from 1 species
UACCCUGGUUAAUGNAAAAUGAAGAGCCGCAGUAAUCUGACUGUGCUAAGGUAGCAUAAUCAUUUGUCUUUUAAUUAAAGACUAGUAUGAAAGGUCAAACGAGAAAAAUUCUAUCCCCUUAAUACAACAAAAAUUUACCUUUAAGUUAAAAGGCUUAAAUAAAUCAACAAGACGACAAGACCCUAUAAAACUUAACUCUAUAAAAAUUUAUACAUAUAAAGAAAAUACAAAACAAAAGAGUUCAACUGGGGCGGUAUUUAUAAACAUAAAACUAUACAUUAACAAAACAUUAUUAUUGAAAAAUAAACCUUUUUUAAAAACAAAACACAAGUUACUUUAGGGAUAACAGCGUAAUAUUUUUUAAGAGUACAUAUCUACAAAACUGAUUACGACCUCGAUGUUGAAUUGGGACACCUUUCAAAAGCANAAUCUGAAAAGAAAGUCUGUUCGACUUUUAAUAUCCCAUG